UGAAUGAUGAAGGUCUUAGGAUUGUAAAAUUCUUUCACCGGGGACGAUAAUGACGGUACCCGGAGAAGAAGCCCCGGCUAACUUCGUGCCAGCAGCCGCGGUAAUACGAAGGGGGCUAGCGUUGCUCGGAAUUACUGGGCGUAAAGGGAGCGUAGGCGGACUGUUUAGUCAGAGGUGAAAGCCCAGGGCUCAACCUUGGAAUUGCCUUUGAUACUGGCAGUCUUGAGUACGGAAGAGGUAUGUGGAACUCCGAGUGUAGAGGUGAAAUUCGUAGAUAUUCGGAAGAACACCAGUGGCGAAGGCGACAUACUGGUCCGUUACUGACGCUGAGGCUCGAAAGCGUGGGGAGCAAACAGGAUUAGAUACCCUGGUAGUCCACGCCGUAAACGAUGAGUGCUAGUUGUCGGCAUGCAUGCAUGUCGGUGACGCAGCUAACGCAUUAAGCACUCCGCCUG
rnacentral:rRNA from 1 species